rnacentral:rRNA from 1 species
CGGACGGGUGAGUAAUGUCUGGGAAACUGCCUGAUGGAGGGGGAUAACUACUGGAAACGGUAGCUAAUACCGCAUAACGUCGCAAGACCAAAGAGGGGGACCUUCGGGCCUCUUGCCAUCGGAUGUGCCCAGAUGGGAUUAGCUAGUAGGUGGGGUAACGGCUCACCUAGGCGACGAUCCCUAGCUGGUCUGAGAGGAUGACCAGCCACACUGGAACUGAGACACGGUCCAGACUCCUACGGAGGCAGCAUG